rnacentral:rRNA from 1 species
CAGUCGCCACGGGAAUACGAAGGGGGCUAGCGUUGCUCGGAAUUACUGGGCGUAAAGGGCGCGUAGGCGGCGCUCCAAGUUAGGCGUGAAAUUCCCGGGCUCAACCUGGGGACUGCGCUUAAGACUGGAGUGCUUGAGGAUGGAAGAGGGUUGUGGAAUUCCCAGUGUAGAGGUGAAAUUCGUAGAUAUUGGGAAGAACACCGGUGGCGAAGGCGGCAACCUGGUCCAUUACUGACGCUGAGGCGCGAUAGCGUGGGGAGCAAACAGGAUUAGAUACCCCUGUAGUCCCUGUCUCUUAUAC